rnacentral:rRNA from 1 species
AAGACGAGGAUCCAAGCGUUGUCCGGAUUUACUGGGUUUAAAGGGUGCGUAGGCGGAAGAUUAAGUCAGUGGUGAAAGCCCGCAGCUCAACUGCGGAACUGCCAUUGAAACUGAUUUUUCUUGAAUACGGUUGAGGUAGAUGGAAUAUAACAUGUAGCGGUGAAAUGCUUAGAUAUGUUAUAGAACACCAAUUGCGAAGGCAGUCUACUAAGCCGUGAUUGACGCUGAGGCACGAAAGCGUGGGGAGCGAACAGGAUUAGAUACCCUGGUAGUCCACGCCCUAAACGUUGAUUACUCGCUGUUGGCGAUACAAUGUCAGCGGCUAAGCGAAAGCGUUAAGUAAUCCACCUGGGAAGUACGACCGCAAGGUUGAAACUCAAAGGAAUUGACGGGGGCCCGCACAAGCGGAGGAGCAUGUGGUUUAAUUCGAUGAUACGCGAGGAACCUUACCUGGGCUUAAAUGUCGUGCGACAAUUGCUGAAAAGUGAUCUCCCUUCGGGGCGACCGGCAAGGU